GCAUCGAUGAAGAACGCAGCGAAAUGCGAUACGCAAUGCGAAUUGCAGAAUUCCGCGAGUCAUCAGGUCUUUGAACGCAAGUGGCGCUGGCGCUGAGCCAGUAUGUUUGUUUCAGUGUGCCAGGGAAUCACACAACUCAAUGCGAUUGAGGAGCGCGCGGCGGCUUGGCAGAAAUGCCAAACUGCCUGCUUCUCUCUCGUUAAACGCGCAGGAAGCCGGACGGUGCGGCCGGACGUAGUAGUCACAUCUCGAAUGUGAACUCGUGCGGCGGAAACGCAUAGUUCAAAUCACGCUUCUUGGAAAAUUUACAAAGUCAAAUUUAUUUGAUUUUUUUCUCUCCACAACACCUGAAAUCAAGCAAGAUCACCCGCUGAACUUAAGCAUAUCAAUAAGCGGAGGA
rnacentral:rRNA from 1 species